CCCUUAGAUGUUCGGGGCCGCACGCGCGCUACACUGAAGGACUCAGCGUGUCUCUCCCCCUAUCCCGAAAGGGAUGGGCAACCCGUUGAACCUCCUUCGUGCUAGGGAUUGGGGUUUGCAAUUAUCCCCCAUGAACGAGGAAUUCCCAGUAAGCGCGAGUCAUCAGCUCGCGUUGAUUACGUCCCUGCCCUUUGUACACACCGCCCGUCGCUACUACCGAUUGGAUGGUCCGGUGAAGCCUCGGGAUUGUGGUUCUUGCCGCUUUAUUGUGGCGUGACCGCGAGAACUUGUCUAAACCUUAUCAUCUAGAGGAAGGUGAAGUCGUAACA
rnacentral:rRNA from 1 species